UCCGGUUUGUCACCGGCAGUCCCAUUAGAGUGCUCAACUGAAUGUGGCAACUAAUGGCAAGGGUUGCGCUCGUUGCGGGACUUAACCCAACAUCUCACGACACGAGCUGACGACAGCCAUGCAGCACCUGUGUUACGGCUCUCUUUCGAGCACCCUCACAUCUCUGUGAGGUUCCGUACAUGUCAAGGGUAGGUAAGGUUUUUCGCGUUGCGUCGAAUUAAACCACAUCAUCCACCGCUUGUGCGGGCCCCCGUCAAGGGGAGCAUGCACAGGUGCUGCAUGGC
rnacentral:misc_RNA from 1 species